rnacentral:tRNA from 1 species
GGAGGGGUGGCCGAGUGGCUGAAGGCGACGGUUUGCUAAACCGUUAAGGGGUGAAUAGCCCCUUCGAGGGUUCGAAUCCCUUCCCCUCCG